AUUAUUUCACACUUUACCCGGGUUUUCCCCCAACCCUAGCCUCAUUUCCCUCCUCCCCUACCGAUCCUCUUAUCUCCAUCGCAGCCCUGGCCCCUCGCCCUUUGAAACGCAGAUCCAAUGGCGCAGAACCCAUCGCCACCCCGCGAAGCUCUCGUCCCCCAAACCCACCCAAACUCCCUCACUUCCACGAGAAGCUCCGACGCCUUCGACGCCACCUACGACGGCCUCAACCGUUCAUCCACCAUCGUAGCCUCCAUUUCCACCAGAAUCUAUCUCUCCAGCCUCCGCAGCUCCUUGCCCCAAUCGCCCCUCAUCUUUGAUUUCUUCAAGAUUUGCUCUGCCACCAACAACUUGCCAAUAUCAGACACAGGUGAUUGGAUCACAUCACACCUCGGGCCCCACUUGGCGAGUUUGGGGCAUGACACGACCAGACAUGGAUCCAUCAGUUGGGGAUCAAACCCAGGGUGAGUUGCCCACCAUCAUCAACAGCAUUGCAUCGACCUAGAUGACGCAGAUAAUGAGGUCAUGUCGUGGUAUAGCAAAAAAAAAGGAGCUGAAGAAGCACCUACACAGUACUGGGGAGCAUAUUCGGAUCGACAUUCCUCUAGGCUUCACCUCCCCCCGCAUGCGCGACCAUUGGUGCACAGCUUGGACACGGGAGCUUGGUGACUCACUCGAAAAAUGAGUAGUUCGAGAGUUAUCCUAAGUAUAGGAGUUCAGUCGUGUAAUAAUUAGUCCAAGGGCCAGAUCGUCUCCUCGGGAAAUGCAGUUUAAUUCCAAACUUAGUGUAAUUCCAAAAGAAAAUAAGAAAACAAAAGUUUACUAAA